UCUCCCUUUGCUGACUCUCUUUUUGGAUUUAGCCAGCCUGCACCCAGGUGAUUGAAAGCCUUAUUGCUCACACAAAGCCUGGUUGGUGGUCUCUUCACAUGGAUGCUCAUGAAAUUUGGUGCCGAAACCGGGGAUUGGGUGACCUCCCUUAGGAGAUCAAUCCGUUGUCCUUCCUCCUACUCUUUGCUGCAUGAGAAGGAUCCACCUACGACCUCUGGUCCUCAGACCCACCAGCCCAAGGAAUAUCUCACCAAUUUCAAAUCCGAUCUUCUCCGCUUAGCAGCUGAAGACUGACACUGCCCAAUCACCUCGGAAGCCUACAGGACCAUCACAGAUGCUCUGCGUAACUCUCACAGUGGGAGUCCUGAGGAAGAUUGACAUUUGCCACCUGCAUAAAGAACCCUACUUGGUGAAAACCCAAGUUUUGUUGGAGUCUGUUCCUGUGAGAAAUGAGGAAAAAACAGUACAUGUGUGCACGGUAGAUCUGGAAGGGAAAGCAGAAAGUAUCCAACACUUCUUGCAUGAAGAAAA